rnacentral:rRNA from 1 species
ACGCUCGACACCUACGGGAGGCAGCAGUGGGGAAUAUUGCACAAUGGGGGAAACCCUGAUGCAGCGACGCCGCGUGAGCGAAGAAGUAUUUCGGUAUGUAAAGCUCUAUCAGCAGGGAAGAAGAAAGACGGUACCUGACUAAGAAGCCCCGGCUAACUACGUACCAGCAGCCGCGGUAAUCUGAGCGGGCUGGCAAGGC